CUUUCUCUCAACCUCCUUCCUGUAUCAGUCCUGCCCUCCCCUUUCUUCUCGGCUUGCUCUUUCCUCAAAGGCUAGCACUGCAGCCAGUGGCCACAUGUGGGGUGGCCACCCGGCUCCUGAGGACUCCCUCUUGUCUGGGAAUGACCUGAACAAACAGGCAGGCACCGAAGUCACAUCCGCACAGCAGGAGGCUGCCCCCAUUCAUAGCUGGAAGACAGGAAAAGACAUUUCUCCAAAGAAGACAUACCAAGAGACACAUGUAAAGAUGCUCAACAUCAGUCAUCAUCAGGGAAAUGUAAAUCAAAAGGCCAUGAGCUAUCACCUCCCACCUGUCAGAAUGGGUAAAGUCAACAACACAAGAGGAUACAGAGGAUGUGGAGAAAGGGAAACCCUCGUGCACUAGUGGUGGGAAUGCAACCUGGUGCAGCCUCUGUGGAAAAGUGUGGAGGUUUCUGAAAAAUAAUUAAAAAUAGAACUAGCGUAUGAGCCAGCAUUCACACUACUGAGUAUUUUUACCCAAAGAAUUCAAAAGGAUACACGCACCCCUAUGUUCAUUGCAGCAUUAUUUACAACAGCCAAAUUACGGAGUCAGCCCAAGUGUCCACUGAUAGAUGAGUGGAUAAAGAAGGGGUACAUAUGCGUACAUACCAUAUGUAUAUAAUGGAAUAUCACUCAGCCAUAAAAAAAGAAUGAAAUCUUGCCAUUUGCAAUGACAAGGAUGGAUCUAGAGAGUAUAAUGCUAAGCAAAAUAAGUCAGUCUGAGAAAGAUAAGUAGCAUAUGAUUUCACUCAUACAUGGAAUUUAAGAAACAAAUGAACAAAGGGGGGAAAGGGGAAACGAAGAAACCUACUCUUAACUACAGAGAACAAGCUGAUGGUUACCAGGGAGGAGGAUGCGGGGAAAUGGAGGAUGAGGAUUAAGAGUACACCUGUCAUGGGAUGGUUCCAGCGGUUGAGUCUCUGCCUUUGGCUCAGGGCGUGACCCCACGGUCCUGGGAUGGAGGCCCAGGUCGGGCUCCCUGCAUGGAGCCUGCUUCUCCCUCUGCCUGUGUCUCUGCCUCUCUGUGUCUCUCAUGAAUAAAUAA
rnacentral:lncRNA from 1 species